CCUACGGGAGGCAGCAGUGAGGAAUAUUGGUCAAUGGACGAGAGUCUGAACCAGCCAAGUAGCGUGAAGGAUGACUGCCCUAUGGGUUGUAAACUUCUUUUAUAUGGGAAUAAAAUGUUCCACGUGUGGGAUUUUGUAUGUACCAUAUGAAUAAGGAUCGGCUAACUCCGUGCCAGCAGCCGCGGUAAUACGGAGGAUCCGAGCGUUAUCCGGAUUUAUUGGGUUUAAAGGGAGCGUAGGUGGAUUGUUAAGUAAGUUGUGAAAGUUUGCGGCUCAACCGUAAAAUUGCAGUUGAAACUGGCAGUCUUGAGUAAAGUAGAGUUGGGCGGAAUGCGUGGUGUAGCGGGGAAAUGCUUAGAUAUCACGAAGAACUCCGAGUGCGAAGGCAGUUCACUGGACUGCAACUGACACUGAGGCUCGAAAGUGUGGGUAUCAAACAGGAUUAGAUACCCCUGUAGUC
rnacentral:rRNA from 1 species